rnacentral:rRNA from 1 species
AGUGAACGCUGGCGGUAGGCCUAACACAUGCAAGUCGAACGGCAGCACAGUAAUAGCUUGCUCUUACGGGUGGCGAGUGGUGGAUGGGUCAUGAAUACCUCGGAAUCUACUUUUUCGCGGGGGAUAACGUAGGGAAACUUACGCUAAUACCGCAUACGACCUACGGGUGAAAGCAGGGGAUCUUCGGACCUUGCGUGAUUGAAUGAGCCGAUGUCGGAUUAGCUAGUUGGCGGGGUAAAGGCCCACCAAGGCGACGAUCCGUAGCUGGUCUGAGAGGAUGAUCAGCCACACUGGAACUGAGACACGGUCCAGACUCCUACGGGAGGCAGCAGUGGGGAAUAUUGGACAAUGGGCGCAAGCCUGAUCCAGCCAUACCGCGUGGGUGAAGAAGGCCUUCGGGUUGUAAAGCCCUUUUGUUGGGAAAGAAAAGCAGCAGGUUAAUACCCCGCUGUUCUGACGGUACCCAAAGAAUAAGCACCGGCUAACUUCGUG